CAGCAGUCGCCGCGGGAAUACGGAGGGUGCAAGCGUUAAUCGGAAUUACUGGGCGUAAAGCGCACGCAGGCGGUCUGACAAGUCAGAUGUGAAAUCCCCGGGCUUAACCUGGGAACUGCAUUUGAAACUGUCAGGCUGGAGUCUUGUAGAGGGGGGUAGAAUUCCAGGUGUAGCGGUGAAAUGCGUAGAGAUCUGGAGGAAUACCGGUGGCGAAGGCGGCCCCCUGGACAAAGACUGACGCUCAGGUGCGAAAGCGUGGGGAGCAAACAGGAUUAGAUACCCCUGUAGUCCCUGUCUCUUAUAC
rnacentral:rRNA from 1 species